rnacentral:ncRNA from 1 species
CGUUUCCCUGCUGGAGAGAGGUGGCGCCGCACGCGGCUCGCCAUCCACCGAAGGAGCAAACCCCGAUCUCGGGGCGAAUCUCUCAGGUACCCGGGACAGCAGGGGUAGC